rnacentral:lncRNA from 10 species
UUUUGAAGGAACUUUAACACACACUUUUAUACAAAUGCUUUUCUUCCCCCUUUGGAAAAAUGAGAGCAAUAAUUUUGCUUGGGAAAUUUUCCUAUUCUUGGAAUCUUGUCUCACUUUGGACAAGCCUCUUGCCUCUACUGGGUCUCUUGUUCCUUGGCUAUAGAAUGUAGAGUUCGGACUUGAUGGACUUUAAGCUCCCUUUCAUCUUCAUGCUUUUAGAAAUGGGCGCCGGGAGAGGGAGGAGGACGUGAGCCACCCUGAUCCACACGUUCUCCACGCAGGCAGAGAAGACAAUGUAUCUUCACAGCUCUCCCACUGUGUGGCUACUUGGAGGAAAUAUGCUGCCAAAUGAAUGAAGGAAAGAAGGUGGAA